AAGGAUUUAAGUUAAAUUUAAAACUAGUAACCUUCAAAGUUACCUAUAGAAAGCUCUAAGCCUUA
rnacentral:tRNA from 1 species